GAUGAACGCUGGCGGUAUGCCUAACACAUGCAAGUCGUACGAGAGUUUUUAACUCUAGUGGCGGACGGGUGAGUAACACGUGAGAAUUUGCCUUUAGGAGGGGGACAACAAUUGGAAACGAAUGCUAAUACCCCAUAUGCUUUCGAGUGAAAUGGAUUUUAUCCGCCUAGAGAGAAGCUUGCGGCUGAUUAGCUUGUUGGUGAGGUAAUGGCUCACCAAGGCGACGAUCAGUAUCUGGUUUGAGAGGAUGAUCAGACACACUGGAACUGAGACACGGUCCAGACUCCUACGGGAGGCAGCAGUGGGGAAUUUUCCGCAAUGGGCGAAAGCCUGACGGAGCAAUACCGCGUGAGGGAAGAAUGCCUAUGGGUUGUAAACCUCUUUUUUCAGGGAGGAAUAAAAUGACGUGUACCUGAAGAAUAAGCAUCGGCUAACUCCGUG
rnacentral:rRNA from 1 species